UACAGAGGGUGCGAGCGUUGUCCGGAAUCACUGGGCGUAAAGGGCGCGUAGGCGGUCUGGUAAGCGUGUGGUGAAAGCCCGGGGCUCAACCCCGCGUCGGCCAUGGAUACUGCUGGGCUGGAGCACUGUAGAGGCAGGCGGAAUUCCGGGUGUAGCGGUGGAAUGCGUAGAGAUCCGGAAGAACACCGGUGGCGAAGGCGGCCCGCUGGGCAGUUGCUGACACUGAGGCGCGACAGCGUGGGGAGCAAACAGG
rnacentral:rRNA from 1 species